rnacentral:rRNA from 1 species
AGAGUUUGAUCCUGGCUCAGGACGAACGCUGGCGGCGUGCUUAACACAUGCAAGUCGAACGGAAAGGCCCUUCGGGGUACUCGAGUGGCGAACGGGUGAGUAACACGUGGGUGAUCUGCCCUGCACUUUGGGAUAAGCCUGGGAAACUGGGUCUAAUACCGAAUAUGACCAUGCGCCCCCUGGUGUGUGGUGGAAAGCUUUUGCGGUGUGGGAUGGGCCCGCGGCCUAUCAGCUUGUUGGUGGGGUAAUGGCCUACCAAGGCGACGACGGGUAGCCGGCCUGAGAGGGUGACCGGCCACACUGGGACUGAGAUACGGCCCAGACUCCUACGGGAGGCAGCAGUGGGGAAUAUUGCACAAUGGGCGCAAGCCUGAUGCAGCGACGCCGCGUGAGGGAUGACGGCCUUCGGGUUGUAAACCUCUUUCAGCACAGACGAAGCGCAAGUGACGGUAUGUGCAGAAGAAGGACCGGCCAACUACGUGCCAGCAGCCGCGGUAAUACGUAGGGUCCGAGCGUUGUCCGGAAUUACUGGGCGUAAAGAGCUCGUAGGUGGUUUGUCGCGUUGUUCGUGAAAACUCACAGCUUAACUGUGGGCGUGCGGGCGAUACGGGCAGACUUGAGUACUGCAGGGGAGACUGGAAUUCCUGGUGUAGCGGUGGAAUGCGCAGAUAUCAGGAGGAACACCGGUGGCGAAGGCGGGUCUCUGGGCAGUAACUGACGCUGAGGAGCGAAAGCGUGGGGAGCGAACAGGAUUAGAUACCCUGGUAGUCC